AACAGGAUUAGAUACCCUGGUAGUCCACGCCCUAAACGAUGUCAACUAGUUGUUGGUAGAGUAAAAUCUAUGAGUAACGCAGCUAACGCGUGAAGUUGACCGCCUGGGGAGUACGAUCGCAAGAUUAAAACUCAAAUGAAUAGACGGGGGCCCGCACAAGCGGUGGAUUAUGUGGAUUAAUUCGAUGCAACGCGAAAAACCUUACCUGGCCUUGACAUGUACGGAACUUUCCAGAGAUGGAUUGGUGCUCGAAAGAGAACCGUAACACAGGUGCUGCAUGGCUGUCGUCAGCUCGUGUCGUGAGAUGUUGGGUUAAGUCCCGCAACGAACGCAACCCUUGCCAAUAAUUGCCAUCAUUUAGUUGGGCACUUUAUUGGGACUGCCGAUGACAAAUCGGAGGAAGGUGGGGAUGACGUCAAGUCCUCAUGGCCCUUAUGGCCAGGGCUUCACACGUAAUACAAUGGUCGGUACAGAGGGUCGCCAACCCGCGAGGGGGAGCUAAUCCCAGAAAGCCGAUCGUAGUCCGGAUUGUUCUCUGCAACUCGAGAGCAUGAAGUCGGAAUCGCUAGUAAUCGCGGAUCAGCAUGUCGCGGUGAAUACGUUCCCGGGCCUUGUACACACCGCCCGUCACACCAUGGGAGUGGGUUUUACCAGAAGUAGGUAGUCUAACCGCAAGGAGGGCGCUUACCACGGUAGUAUUCAUGACUGGGGUGAAGUCGUAACAAGGUAACC
rnacentral:rRNA from 1 species